rnacentral:rRNA from 1 species
UACGGAGGGUGCAAGCGUUAUCCGGAUUCACUGGGUUUAAAGGGUGCGUAGGAGGGCAGGUAAGUCAGUGGUGAAAUCUCCGAGCUUAACUUGGAAACUGCCGUUGAUACUAUCUGCCUUGAAUAUUGUGGAGGUGAGCGGAAUAUGUCAUGUAGCGGUGAAAUGCUUAGAUAUGACAUAGGACACCAAUUGCGAAGGCAGCUCGCUACACAUAUAUUGACUCUGAGGCACGAAAGCGUGGGGAUCAAACAGG